CCAAUUGUCGUUGCCCUUCACGGGGCGCGGCGUUCCCACUGGUGACUCUGGAUAACUUUGUGCUGAUCGCAUGGCCUUACGUGCCGGCGACGCAUCUUUCAAAUGUCUGCCCUAUCAAAUGUCGAUGGUACGCCGGCUGCCUACCAUGUUUGUAACGGGUAACGGGGAACCAGGGUUCGAUUCCGGAGAGCCGGCAUGAGAAACGGCUACCACAUCCAAGGAGGGCGGCUAGCGCUCAAUUCCC
rnacentral:rRNA from 1 species